CAGCCGCCACGGGAAUACAGAGGGUGCGAGCGUUAAUCGGAUUUACUGGGCGUAAAGCGUGCGUAGGCGGCUUUUUAAGUCGGAUGUGAAAUCCCUGAGCUUAACUUAGGAAUUGCAUUCGAUACUGGGAAGCUAGAGUAUGGGAGAGGAUGGUAGAAUUCCAGGUGUAGCGGUGAAAUGCGUAGAGAUCUGGAGGAAUACCGAUGGCGAAGGCAGCCAUCUGGCCUAAUACUGACGCUGAGGUACGAAAGCAUGGGGAGCAAACAGGAUUAGAUACCCGGGUAGUCCCUGUCUCUUAUAC
rnacentral:rRNA from 1 species